ensembl:lncRNA
CAUGCUUCUCACCCUCGUUUCCUCUCUGUCACAAGCUGUGGGACUUUGACCUACUGCCACUGCUGCCAGUUCAGCAGAAGAAAGGACUGGAGGACAGAAAAGGAGGAUAUUGUGCAGUACAUUUUCAUGAUUCAUCUGUCUUCAUAUUCAGGAUAAAAUAUUAAAAUAAUGAAAUAAAAAAGAUGUGCCAUCAUCCUUCAGGAAGUCACAUCAAUUUUAGAGGGAAAACAACAGGACGAACAUGAAUGGUUUUCGUUAACACCCAAUGUCUCAGGGCAGACAUUCAUCUGGGGUGUUCGUCUGGGUGAGACACUGAACACAGCCUUAAAGCAGAAUUCAAUACAAAUAAAUGACUUUAGUCUGAACCAGUGGGUAUUUCCUGUAAGUUUAUAUUAGGAUCUUUCUAAACACCCCAAGCACAUAUUUAAAGUAUCAAAGCCAACAUUGUACUUGCAGUAUCUGGUUAAUCCUUUCUAUGUGAAACAUGGAAUAGUUUGCCCAUAUAUGAUGCAUUGCAUGCAGCUCAUCUGCCUUCUUGUUAACAUACAGGUAUUCAUUUUGACCUUUUACACAUGAGUCACAUGAAAAGUGGUUUAUGGUUGUUGUAGGUCACAGUGAUGUAAAGCUAAACACAUUUUUAACACCUGCACUAUUACUCAGAACACCUUACAG